UCUUUAUAUUAAUUUUAUUUUUUAAUUAUUUAGAAAUAUUAAAUUAAUAAUAUCAUUAAUAUUUUAUUGGGGUGAUAAUAAAAUUUAAAAAACUUUUAUUUUAUAGUACAUUGAUAUAUGAGUUGUUGAUCCAUUAUUUAUGAUUAAAAAAUUAAGU
rnacentral:rRNA from 1 species